rnacentral:rRNA from 1 species
GACGAACGCUGGCGGCGUGCCUAAUACAUGCAAGUAGAACGCUGAAGAGAGGAGCUUGCUCUUCUUGGAUGAGUUGCGAACGGGUGAGUAACGCGUAGGUAACCUGCCUUGUAGCGGGGGAUAACUAUUGGAAACGAUAGCUAAUACCGCAUAACAAUGGAUGACACAUGUCAUUUAUUUGAAAGGGGCAAUUGCUCCACUACAAGAUGGACCUGCGUUGUAUUAGCUAGUAGGUGAGGUAACGGCUCACCUAGGCGACGAUACAUAGCCGACCUGAGAGGGUGAUCGGCCACACUGGGACUGAGACACGGCCCAGACUCCUACGGGAGGCAGCAGUAGGGAAUCUUCGGCAAUGGGGGCAACCCUGACCGAGCAACGCCGCGUGAGUGAAGAAGGUUUUCGGAUCGUAAAGCUCUGUUGUAAGUCAAGAACGAGUGUGAGAGUGGAAAGUUCACACUGUGACGGUAGCUUACCAGAAAGGGACGGCUAACUACGUGCCAGCAGCCGCGGUAAUACGUAGGUCCCGAGCGUUGUCCGGAUUUAUUGGGCGUAAAGCGAGCGCAGGCGGUUUGAUAAGUCUGAAGUUAAAGGCUGUGGCUCAACCAUAGUUCGCUUUGGAAACUGUCAAGCUUGAGUGCAGAAGGGGAGAGUGGAAUUCCAUGUGUAGCGGUGAAAUGCGUAGAUAUAUGGAGGAACACCGGUGGCGAAAGCGGCUCUCUGGUCUGUAACUGACGCUGAGGCUCGAAAGCGUGGGGAGCGAACAGGAUUAGAUACCCUGGUAGUCCACGCCGUAAACGAUGAGUGCUAGGUGUUGGAUCCUUUCCGGGAUUCAGUGCCGCAGCUAACGCAUUAAGCACUCCGCCUGGGGAGUACGACCGCAAGGUUGAAACUCAAAGGAAUUGACGGGGGCCCGCACAAGCGGUGGAGCAUGUGGUUUAAUUCGAAGCAACGCGAAGAACCUUACCAGGUCUUGACAUCCCGAUGCUAUUUCUAGAGAUAGAAAGUUACUUCGGUACAUCGGUGACAGGUGGUGCAUGGUUGUCGUCAGCUCGUGUCGUGAGAUGUUGGGUUAAGUCCCGCAACGAGCGCAACCCCUAUUGUUAGUUGCCAUCAUUCAGUUGGGCACUCUAGCGAGACUGCCGGUAAUAAACCGGAGGAAGGUGGGGAUGACGUCAAAUCAUCAUGCCCCUUAUGACCUGGGCUACACACGUGCUACAAUGGUUGGUACAACGAGUUGCGAGUCGGUGACGGCAAGCUAAUCUCUUAAAGCCAAUCUCAGUUCGGAUUGUAGGCUGCAACUCGCCUACAUGAAGUCGGAAUCGCUAGUAAUCGCGGAUCAGCACGCCGCGGUGAAUACGUUCCCGGGCAU